rnacentral:snoRNA from 1 species
AACCGGACUGAUAACUGGAUGGUUUGCUCGGGCAGUGUAAAACUGUGCAAUUUCAGUCCCAUACUGUCUUUUAAGCGUCCGGGAUAAUAACGAUUUGAAAAUGCUUCUUACACGACUGGAACUCAAGCAAUGGUUCCAACUCGUUUACUUUUUCUCGACAUCU